AGGAGUGGAGAAAGGACAAAUGAAGAAUGGAAGUUGAUCCUGGAGGCAUGAAGUUAGCCCCAACGUUAGCCCCUUAACUUGGAGGCUAACGUUGGGCAUGAAGAUUACUCCCUGGGCUCCCCACGUUUGAGCUAACGUUAGCCCCCUAACUUGGAGGCUAACGUUGGCACAUGAAUUCCUCCCUGGCCAUCCAACGUUUGCGCCAACGUUAGCCCCCUAA